GUAAACAAAUAUAUCCAAUUCGUCUAAUAUAAUAUACAACUAUUAUAUUUUGUUAUUGCGUAAUAUUUGAACUUGUAAUUAAUUUACAAAAUACAAUAAACAAAAUAAAUAGAAACUUAUUGGGUUGAUGUGAACAGAGGCAACACAAUUUCG